rnacentral:rRNA from 1 species
CCUACGGAGUGCUGCAGUAGGGAAUCUUCCACAAUGUACGAAAGUCUGAUGGAGCAACGCCGCGUGAGUGAAGAAGGGUUUCGGCUCGUAAAGCUCUGUUGGUAGUGAAGAAAGAUAGAGGUAGUAACUGGCCUUUAUUUGACGGUAAUUACUUAGAAAGUCACGGCUAACUACGUGCCAGCAGCCGCGGUAAUACGUAGGUGGCAAGCUGUGUCCGGUUUUGUUGGGCGUAAAGCGAGUGCAGGCGGUUCAAUAAGUCUGAUGUGAAAGCAUUCGGCUCAACCGGAGAAUUGCAUCAGAAACUGUUGAACUUGAGUGCAGAAGAGGAGAGUGGAACUCCAUGUGUAGCGGUGGAAUGCGUAGAUAUAUGGAAGAACACCAGUGGCGAAGGCGGCUCUCUGGUCUGCAACUGACGCUGAGGCUCGAAAGCAUGGGUAGCGAACAGGAUUAGAUACCCCUGUAGUC